GGGCGCUUAGCUCAGUGGCAGAGCGACUCGUUUACACCGAGUAGGUCCAAGGUUCGAUCCCUUGAGCGCCCA
rnacentral:tRNA from 1 species